rnacentral:rRNA from 1 species
AGGACGAACGCUGGCGGCGUGCUUAACACAUGCAAGUCGAGCGGAAAGGCCCUUCGGGGUACUCGGAGCGGCGAACGGGUGAGUAACACGUGAGCAACCUGCCCUUAGCUUCGGGAUAGCGUCCGGGAAACCGGAAUUAAUACCGAAUAUGAUUUUUGCUGACAUCAGCGAGAAGGUGGAAAGUUUUUCGGCUAGGGAUGGACUCGCGGCCUAUCAGCUAGUUGGUGAGGUAACGGGCCCACCAAGGCGACGACGGGUA